GAAGAAUCAUUGGGCUGGAAGUUAUCAACCCAAAGUAACAGCAAUCAACAUACCUUUUACUGUAAAUCUCUUUCUCUACUUGUCUUCCAAAUCUCACUCAGCUUCAAAAAGUAAAAGUAAAAUCAUAUUCUAGGGCUUCGUUUUUUGUAUCUUGACUUGAAAAAUGGCGGACGACGCAAAUAGAACUGCUUUUAUUGAAAUUCAAGGUCGGAUGAUUGAGACUACCGGUAAAUUAAAGCAGGUUCAAACACAGAUUCGAAACAAAGAAACGGAAAAGAAGCGUGCUUAUUUGACAUUGGAGGAAUUGAAGCAGCUGUCUGAAGAUACUAAUACAUACAAAGCCAUAGGAAGAACGUAAGUUUUGAACUGACGUCUAUCAUGUCCUGCUGUCAUCCGAAAAAAGGAAAAGGAGACGUGGAUCAUAUACAUUGUUGUCCUGGAGUUCUCAAGUUUCUCUGCUUUUGUACCUAUCUCACUCUGAACAAUCUUUUAUGUUCAGGUUUAUCUUGGAGCCAAAGACUCUGUUAAUGAAUGAGCAAGAGCAAAAACUCAAGGAUAGUGAAACUGCAAUUGCCAAUUUGCAGACUUCUAAAGAGUAUUUGGAAAAACACUUGGCAGAGGUGGAGAAUAACCUUAGAGAGCUCUUACAACAAGAUCCUGGUCUUGCUCGUCAGAUAAUGACCAUGUAAUGAGAAAACAUUGUGUACUGGCUGUAUGAGGAAAUUAUCCACCCGAUGUCUGCCACUUCAAUUAUUGCUGCUGCAUUGGUCGUAGUGCUUGCUUUUAUUGGGCCUGGAGCUGGUCGAGGGACUGCUGCGAUCAAGUUGUAAUUCAUGAGAAAUGUUGUAUAUUAGCUACCUUAACAAUUUCGCACUCCUGAAAGAAGUAAACUGGCAUUGAGAAAGAAGCGCCUAAAUAUUGAUUGUAAGGAGAAAAAAGGGCUUGAAUUUGCAUAAAAUUUUACGGCAGAAGUUUUGAAUUC